ACCGCUGCGGCGCUGCGACUUGCGAGCAGCCAGCAGCCAGCACCCAGGCCAGCAUAGCAGGUCUCCCCGCUGCGCGCCCACGGCCAGACCGGACCAACGUCUUGGCCUCACUCACAAUCGCCUCCCAGUCGCCCCGCCUAAUGGAACCAGCAGCUGUUACCGCCGACCUUAAAGCACAGUAGUCCGGCCGACGCAGCAAGCUAACCUCGGUUCGAGAGCGGCGCAUAGACGAGAGCAGAGAACCUGAGACCCCAGCAGACCGUUCGAGUGAGACCCAGCAGACCGUUCCUGUCGCUAAACGCCUCCCACCCAGAUCUGAUUGGCUUCUCCCGAUCUCAACGCCGGUAGUCUCUCUCGGCCAAGAUCUGAUUGGCUUCUCCCCAAAUCUCACGAUCGGGCAGGUCUCUCCCCGUGCCGUCUACCGAUUCAAAGCAGGUCCGAUUCAGAGCAGGGCAUCAAUUCUCUUUAAAGCUAAGUUUGUAGUCUCUUCUCAACUAUGAAAAUGGCGUAUGGUUUGGAGUUUGGAGUUUGGGAUUUUAUCUUAGCAACACACGAAUAGAAGCAGUUUUGCAUAACAGUUGUUUUAUACACGAUUGAGUUCUCAUACAUACUGUAAUUGGUGUUUGCAAUGGUUUUCUGUUAUGAAACUGAUUAUGAUUGGAUAUGAAUGCUUACUGGAAUGGAUAUUUGAGAUAGUUGAAUACCUUGAAUGUUUUCGAUCUGACCAGUGGCUGUUGGAGUUGAAAUUAUUGUGGAGUAACUUGAAGUUGCUUGGUUAAGAGUUUUUUUCUUUUUCAUUGACCGGAGAGCAUGAGUCGUGAGGAGGUUUGGAGGGUGGUGAGGAGAAGGGGGCACGAGAGGACCGGAGCAGAAGGCAAUGUGGUGUAUCAACGGAGCAAUAACUUUCAUAGGCAGCCGAAGACUUGGAGGAGUGGAGCUGGGGUUAAACCUCUUUCGAGAUCCCAGAGAGUCACCUUCUUCUUUAACAACAUCCCCGAAGAUUGCAGCUUUGAUUUCUUGAGAAGGAAGUUUGGUGCCGUUCGGGUUCCGACUGACAUUUUCUGUCCCAAUAAGAGAGAUAAAAAAG
rnacentral:lncRNA from 1 species